CAACCACAAUUACAUUGACACUAUCCGGGACAUCACAUGAAAUGUGCUCUAUCCCUUCUGUGCUACCUACACCAAGAGCAGCAAGAACAUGUGCUGCCUUGUUACAUUCUCUAGAAACAUGAACACACUCACACCUAAUGAAGUUCGCGGACGUGAGAGAUUUCAGCUCUUCCAUCAGAUACCCUAUCGCCCGAAAGGUCCAACUGAUUUGACUCCUAGCUGUUUGAUUUUUACGGCAUCAGUCUCCACAAUCAGGUGAGCUAUUCCUAGGUUAUUUGCUGCUUGUACGCCCCACUCCAACAAGCUCUAUAUCCUUCCUGAUUAUUAUGAAUAGGGAUUUUGAUGAAAAAAAAAAUACUCUUUAACUAUUUCUCU
rnacentral:lncRNA from 1 species